UGGCGGCGUGCCUAACACAUGCAAGUCGAACGAGAAAGUGGAGCAAUCCAUGAGUAAAGUGGCGACCGGGUGAGUAACACGUGACUAACCUGCCUUCGAGUGGGGGAUAACCUCGGGAAACCGGGGCUAAUACCGCAUAAUGCCUUCGGGUUAAAGGAGCAAUUCGCUUGAAGAGGGGGUCGCGGCUGAUUAGCUAGUUGGCGGGGUAACGGCCCACCAAGGCGAUGAUCGGUAGCCGGCCUGAGAGGGCGCACGGCCACACUGGAACUGAAACACGGUCCAGACUCCUACGGGAGGCAGCAGUGGGGAAUUUUGCGCAAUGGGGGAAACCCUGACGCAGCAACGCCGCGUGGAGGAUGAAGUCCUUUGGGACGUAAACUCCUUUCGACCGGGACGAUUAUGACGGUACCGGUGGAAGAAGCCCCGGCUAACUUCGUGCCAGCAGCCGCGGUAAUACGAGGGGGGCGAGCGUUGUUCGGAAUUAUUGGGCGUAAAGGGCGCGUAAGCGGUGCGGUAAG
rnacentral:rRNA from 1 species